GUCGUCAGCUCGUGUCGUGAGAUGUGGUUAAGUCCGCAACGAGCGCAACCCUUGUGUUUAGUUGCCAACAGAUAAUGCUGUGCACUUUAAACAGACUGCCGUGGAUAACACGGAGGAAGGUGGGAUGACGUCAAAUCAUCAUGCCCCUUAUGAUCUGGGCUACACACGUGCUACAAUGGUCGGUACAACGGGCAGCGAAAGAGUAAUCUGGAGCGAAUCCUAAAAAGCCGAUCCCAGUUCGGAUUGUGGGCUGAAACUCGCCCACAUGAAGUUGGAGUUGCUAGUAAUCGCGAAUCAGAAUGUCGCGGUGAAUGCGUUCCCGGGUCUU
rnacentral:rRNA from 1 species